rnacentral:ncRNA from 2 species
UGACGUCUUCGGGGUUAGGUGAAAUUCCUGACCGGCGGUGAAAGCCCGCGAGCUGCUUUUUAAAGCAGUUGACCCGGUGGAAUUCCGGGGCCGACAGUGAAAGUCUGGAUGGGAGAAGGCGUCA